rnacentral:rRNA from 1 species
UCGGGGUACACGAGCGGCGAACGGGUGAGUAACACGUGGGUGAUCUGCCCUGCACUUCGGGAUAAGCCUGGGAAACUGGGUCUAAUACCGGAUAUGACCUCCUAUUGCAUGGUGGGUGGUGGAAAGAUUUAUCGGUGCAGGAUGGGCCCGCGGCCUAUCAGCUUGUUGGUGGGGUAAUGGCCUACCAAGGCGACGACGGGUAGCCGACCUGAGAGGGUGACCGGCCACACUGGGACUGAGACACGGCCCAGACUCCUACAGGAGGCAGCAGUGGGGAAUAUUGCACAAUGGGCGAAAGCCUGAUGCAGCGACGCCGCGUGAGGGAUGACAGCCUUCGGGUUGUAAACCUCUUUCAGCAGGGACGAAGCGCAAGUGACGGUACCUGCAGAAGAAGCACCGGCUAACUACGUGCCAGCAGCCGCGGUAAUACAGAGGGUGCAAGCGUUGUCCGGAAUUACUGGGCGUAAAGAGUUCGUAGGCGGUUUGUCGCGUCGUUUGUGAAAACCAGCAGCUCAACUGCUGGCUUGCAGGCGAUACGGGCAGACUUGAGUACUGCAGGGGAGACUGGAAUUCCUGGUGUAGCGGUGAAAUGCGCAGAUAUCAGGAGGAACACCGGUGGCGAAGGCGGGUCUCUGGGCAGUAACUGACGCUGAGGAACGAAAGCGUGGGUAGCGAACAGGAUUAGAUACCCUGGUAGUCCACGCCGUAAACGGUGGGCGCUAGGUGUGGGUUCCUUCCACGGAAUCCGUGCCGUAGCUAACGCAUUAAGCGCCCCGCCUGGGGAGUACGGCCGCAAGGCUAAAACUCAAAGGAAUUGACGGGGGCCCGCACAAGCGGCGGAGCAUGUGGAUUAAUUCGAUGCAACGCGAAGAACCUUACCUGGGUUUGACAUAUACCGGAAAGCUGCAGAGAUGUGGCCCC